ensembl:lncRNA
GUUGUUUUUUUAAAUAAUCUUAUUAGUUUAGAAACAUAUUCAUUGUUUUUCUUCCCAAGUACGUUUAUCUCGUUCAAUGGAUGUUGUAAAACAAACAAAAAUAUUGACUUUAGUUUAUUUUUUGCAGUAUAACCAGAGCGUUUUCUUUGACGGUGAGAUCGAUUUUUUUCCCCCCGUUAGGUGCAGAUCAGUGGAGAAUUUAAGCUUUAGAGUUUUAAACCAGCUCUUUGGAUCUCUUCAGUACUCUUGUUCAUUUUGCACAACUAUGUCUGGUUUCCACUCAGGGUAUCUGUUUCUGUUCAGGGUUUCUUUUCACCAGUCUCAUUUUUUCCGCCUCCUUUUCUUUUUUUUAGUCAGGUGUGUGUGUAUAUCUACUUGUGCAUUACUGUCCUUUUCUUAGAGAAAAGUGUCAUGUUUUGUGUGUGCGUUUGUGUUUUAGUGGCACACUCUUAAAUCCCAUACUGAGUACAAAGUGCAGCUUGAGAAGGCUGAGAAAACAGUUUUGGUAUUUUGAUCUAGUUUUCUAAAUCCCAAGAUCCAUUUCAGUGUUUUAAAUGAAGAAAGAGAAUUGCACAGAUUAGCAUAUGAAAAGAAACAGAAAGAAAUGAUGGAACAAUUUAGAUCAGAGCUAUUAAAAGUCGAAAUAUAGAGCAAGAGAGCACCACAUGCUGUUUACAAUAGAAUAUUCACACUAGAUUGUCUUCAUUCAGUCGAUAUCAGAAACUGUAAAACCGUUAUUGCUGUAGUGUCUUAUUUUGUCAUCAUACUGUUGUUAUUCAUUUCAUAUUUCAUCAUUAUGCUGUUCAUCAUUUUGACAUACUUGUGCAGCUAUGAGUAUAUGGAAGAUUUUCAGAGGAGGGAUUGUAUUGGUUUGGUUUGUGAGGGACAAACAAUAAUAUCUCUAAAAACCAUGAUGGUCAGUGUUAUUUAUAUAUUAUUGCACAUUUAAAAUGUCAAGUGUCAUGGUCCUCUUAUGUGUGUUCUGUUAUUGACAGGUUUCCAUAUAUUAAUUAUUAUCUUGCACUAUAUUCUUAUUCAGCUAAAGCAGAGCCUGUCUUCACAGUCAUUUAUUGAAAUUGGUGAAUAUAUUUUCAAAUUGGCUAAUCACAGAUUUGCUUCAUUUGUUUUGGGUACCAUAUAUAUUGGGAAUGUACAGUAUAUCAUAAGAAGAUACUACAGUAUCAAAGAAAAAAUGAUCACACAUGAAAAUGUACAGUACAGCACAUACUCUUUCCACUAUUAAAUCGAAUCUUAUGAGAAAAUGUAAACUGUUUGUAAAAAUGAUCCUAAUUAAUUCCAUUGUAAAAUAAUUCCUUUGUUUUUAAUUGUAAUUACAUCUGGCAACACACACCCACACACGUACAGUAUUUAUGAUUGGAAUAUUUAUAUAUUCAUGAGGCUGAGUUUCAUCUAAUUGUAAGACAUUAUCACUGAAUACACUACAGUUAUGUAUUUUUUAUAUAUAUAUAUUUGUCAUCUUUUUUAUAUUAAUACUGGAACCUGUGUUAGUGAAAUAAGUGAGUGAUCUCAGGAGGAAUCUCUCUUAAAUGUUAUGCAUAUUGUUGCAUACUGUUAUGUAUAUGUUGUAGUUUGAUCAUGGAUGCAUCUCUCACUUGUGCAGAGCUUGCUACACCUGAAUGAUGAUGGGAG